rnacentral:lncRNA from 1 species
CUCAAGGCCACACCCUUGUGCCUAGCUGCCUCAUCUCCCUCCCAGCUGCCAGGGAGGGACGGCUCCAUGGGCAGUGCCACGGGUGCCAGCUGCCCAGCCAGGAUGCAGGUGAGUAAGACAGCACCUCCUCCACCCUCCUAUGGUGGAACCAAGGCAGGCCUGAUUCUUUGCCAUUGUUUUCAAGGAAGCUAGCUGUAAUGAGCAACUUCCCAGUCUGUUUAAGAUAGAAAGCAGGUCGGGGUCUCCCCGCUCCCAGGCCGUCUCUCACUGUCUCUCUUCACCCUGGGCCAGCACCAACACUCCGUGCUGUGGACACCCUGAUGGUGAUAGGGGAGGGGCUGUGUGCUUCCAGCCCUGGGCCUGUCUUCUUCCUUCCCCAGAAGUGUCCUUUCCUCUCCCCCCUCAUGGCUCUUGGAUGUCAUCAACACCCCACUCAGUCAUUUUGCAGUCUUCUCACGGGCACGGAAAGGUGUGGCUGGCUUCCUUCACCUUUCUGAGGCUCACUGGAAACUUGGGGUGAUCCAUGCUACUUGCCCAGCCCCAACACCACCCCUUCUUGCUGUCAUCUCAGUGAGGCUUUUGGCAACACAGUUCCAGAAGGGACUGGAAAAUGCAAGUCUGCUCUGUUCUGGGACACCCAAACUAAAAAGGGACUUCACUCAUCCCUACCACCCCACCUCUGCCCAAGACACUCUCCCCAAUAACUGACUCUCUUGGCUCCCUCCUUUACCUCUUUUCUCUCUCUCUCUUUCUUUCCAGAACCUCCCAGUCGAACAGGAAAAUGGGGAGAGUUGGAAACAGCCUUGUUGACAUGGUCUCAUUCUCUUUCUCAAUUCUUCUGCUCUAUAGUUUUUGGACUUAGAAAUCAGUAAUUCACCUGGUCUGUGGGUUCUUCAGAGAUCCCUGAACACUGGGUGGUAUAAGCUGUCUGGGCAGUGGAAAAAAGGUCUUUGGGGUAUAAUGAGCAAAGCUGGCACUCAAUGGGCAUCAAAGGGAAGCACAUCAGUGAAGAUGGUGCGGAUCAUCCCACCACAUCAAAACCCUGGAACGCGAUAUCCGUUACCAGAAUUCAGGGCCAGGGCUUUCUUCCCCUGAACAGGAUGUCCUUCCGUUAGCCCCGGGAGAUCGUGGUGUCCUGCAGGACCAGCUGGACCCUGGAAGGCCGGUGGGCCCUGAUGUUCAUGCGGAAUUCUUUGAUGACAAAGUAGUAGCAGAAAACAUCCAGGCAGCAGUUGACGUUGGAGAAACACAUGGACAAUUGCAAGAAGAAGCUGAUGCUCUGCUUGGCUCUGCACUCUACGAUAAAGCUGUUUCUCACCAGGAACUGCAGGAAGAACCCCAGGUGGACUGGGAGGAAGGAGACCACGAAGACAGCCAGGCUGGCUGCGAUGCUGUAGAUGCAGGCUUUCUGCUGCACCCAGUCCUGGGUGUGGUCUCGGCGGCCCAGCAGGAUGUGGAUGCUCCUGGAGCAGCAGAAGCCCAUGAUGCCCAUGGGAAGGAGGAAGCCAAACACCUCCAGCGGGAAGAAGACCUUGGCGCUCCAGGUAUCAUCAGACAUGUUGUGGAAGCACAUGUAUUUUUCCACUUUCCCAUGGAAACUGUAGAUAGGGAUGCUUCCGGUCCACACCAGGACCCAGAUGGUGCAGCAGAUCCCAAAGAUCUUCCUGGGGGACCGGAGGUGGCUCACCAGUAGCGGGUAACGGAUGGCCAAGAACCGGUCCAUGCUGAUGAAGCAGAUGGUGAAGACGCUUCCGUACAUGCUGACGAAGUAAAGGCACUCCACCAGGGUGCACAGGGACGGGAAGGGGGACUGUACCUGGGACAGGACCAUCUUGAAUGGGAGGGAGAGCACCAGCAGCAGGUCAAAGACUGCCAGGUUGAUCAUGUAGAUGGAGGUGGCAGCAUAAUCGGGCCACCUGUUCUUAAGGAAGGUGCUGAAGCCAUGGAUGGCCAGCAGGUUGAGGAGCAGGCCCAGGACGAAGGUGGGGAUGUGGACUGCAAACUGUAGGGUUUUCAUCAGCUCGUUGACACCGUCAAACAGGCAGUCCCCACUGGUGUUUUGCUGACUCAUGUUUCUUCCUACAACACCAACAGAUCAGACGGGGCUCCUUUCACUCUCUUGAAGUGAUGGAUUCAAAUGACUUUGUCAAGAAUCACAAACACCUCCCCAGCAUCACACAGCAAUUCAUGCCCAUUGAAUCACAACUAGAACACAGAAAAGAAAAAUUACCUUUAAUCCUGCUGCCCAGAUGCAACCACUGUUACUUUUUGUGUAUAUCAUUCCAGACUCGCUUUCUCACUCUCUUUCUACCAUACACACAUUUUUCUUUGACAAAUAUAGAACCUGCUGUGCAUGGACAUCUGUCUUUUAAAUCAGAACUCCUUUUGUUGAAAGAAGUAACAGCACAUACCCAGACCCAAACAGGCUGAAGCAAAGAGACAGUUUCACAUAAUGGAAAACAUGAAAACUAGGGUAGGGCUGACUUCAGGAGCAGCUGGAUCAGGGAUUCAAAUGCUGUUUCCAGGACUCAGCUCCUUUUGUCUCCUUUGUCCUCCUCCCACCCACUUUCCUGAUGGUUGGACACAGUCAACCUGCAACCAGGGAUGAUUGACACCAGAGCGUUGCAUUCCCCUGGACACAGUAGCUGGUUAGUUCAUUGGUUCAGGGACAGAUAUUUGACUCUCCAAGAAGCCAUGAUAAUCAACACAACUUUUGCUUGGGUUUCCAGGCAGAGGGUUGGAGUCCCUUGUCAGGGAUUCAUAGUUGCCAAGAUAUAAGGUCUGCAGCUGCUGCAGCCUCUUGUACCCCAAAGAGAAAACCAGACAGAAAAUGGAGAGAUAUGGGAGAAAUGGCAUUCCCAGAAGGAAUGGAGCGGGGCCCUGAGGUCUCCACAGGGCAAGGAAAGGCCUUUUGUCGGGCAGAAAAUUAGAAGUGGCCUCAGGGACGGGAGGACCAAGGCUGCAGGUGUGGUUGCACAGGGGUGUGGUCCGAGCCUGGUCAAUUUGGGGUGAGGGGGUGAGUGCCAUUGUGGGGUUCUGCAUCAAGGUAUGUAGCCCUGGAGCAGGAAAAAACCAAGUGUUCAAUCCAGGCAUCCAGAACCAGGUUGCUAGAAGGACUCAAAUACGACCCAACUUCCACCCUCUCCCCACUUGCCCGCCUCUGCCCACCUCCCUGCUCCCUCCUUUCUCACCCACUCUUCCCUCUCCCCACAUGUGAGGCCAUGCUGCUGGUGUACUUGACUUGGACUGGCCUUAGACAUGGAAUGUGCCACAUUCACUAGAGCACAGGGGCAUGGCAUGGAAAGGACAUUUAUGCCUGGCAUCUUCCUUAACCACUUCGGCAGAAAGCAGCUGGGUGAGCAAGUGCGGCCAGGUCCUGCCGUGAGACCCACCUUCCUGUGCCUCUCCCACCUCCCAUGACUUCCUGGCUAGCAGGUGCUGAGAUCCCAAGAUAUCGAUGUAUCAGGGAGGAGACAUCAGCAUGGACUCCCACCAGAGAAUCCCAUACUAGUGACCACUGCAGCUAUUUAUUUUUAUUUUUAUUUUUAUUGUUUUUGAGAUGGAGUCUCACUCUGUCACCCAGGCUGGAGUGCAGUGGCACAAUCUUGGCUCACUGCAACCUCUGCCUCCCCAGUUCAAGCGAUUCUCCUGCCUCAGUCUCCUUCAUAGCUGGGAUUACAGGCAUGCACCACCACGCUCACCACCCCUGGCUAAUUUUUUGUAUUUUUAGUAGAGAUCAGUUUUCACCAUGUUGACCAGGCUGGUCUUGAACUCCUGACCUCAGGUGAUCCACCCACCUCGGCCUCCCAAAGUGCUGGGAUUACAGGCGGGAGGCCCCGCACCUGUUCCUAAAACUUCUGUUAUUAAUUAAAGCUUCUGUUAUUAUUUUUCAUAGCUUUUUAUUAAUUUUAAAAGUAUUCCAGGCGCUCAAUAAGAUAUUCGAAGAGAACAAAAGAACAAGCGUAGGAAAGUCAGCCUCCUUGUACCCUAAGGCCUCAACUGUCCUUUUCAAAGGCAGCAUGGCUUACAGCUUCUUGCAUAUUCCUCCCAGACAUUUUCUAAGUAGAUACAUAUAUGCAAAUAUAUGCAUGCAUACAUAUACAUGUAUGACUUCUUUAAAAUUUGGAAAUAAUAUACCUAGAGCCCCUGUCCCUUGCUUUUUCGCUCAUCAAUGUUUCUUGGACAUUGGUCUAUAUCAGCAUAUAUGAAUGGCUUGUUUGCCUCCCAUUGUGUAGGUAUACCAAAACUCAUUUAGCCAGUAGCUUAUUCAUAAACAUUUAGGUUUCCAGUAUUUUACCAGGAAACAAUGAAUUCCACAAUAAGCAUUCCUAUGACUUAUUUCUUUGCUGUGCAGCUAUUGCUAACAGAAUUCUCAUUCUGCUAUUGUUUCUCAUCACUAUUGGGCGCCCGUGGGAGGAAAAAAUUGGGGUGUGUUUUAAGAUCUUAUAUGUAAUACCAUUCCCAAGCCCUCUCUGAUCUCUAAUGAAAAAGAAAAUCGAUAUAUAUAGAUAGAUGUUUAUAGGUUCAUAUAUAUAUCAUCCAUUGAGCACUACGCACUAAACAUUUAACAUACAUUACUUGAUUUGGUGGCUUUCCAAAGAUUCUAUGGUUUCCAAUGUGUUAACUUUUCUCACAGAUUUAUGUAAUGAGAGAUCUAGGAAAAAAUACUUCCUCUUAUUCAAAGCCUUGGUGUCCUGUGGUCUGUGGGGAUGGUGCCUCCUAGGGGUGUGUAGGAGUAACUGGUCCUACUCAGGAUGCUCAGAAUCUGCAAGGUGGGGUGGCCGCCUCCUCACUAAACAUGCUGAAAUGGCCACAGGCCUAGCUCAAAAAAUUACUGGAAUAGCUUGGAACUCACAAGGCAAAUUUCAAAAAUGAUGAGAAAAGCAGGUCAAAGCCCAGUUCAAGUCUAAAUGUAAAAUGUUGCAACACCAAAGAGGAAGAUGGAAUUGGCUUGGAGAAGUUGUCUUCAAGACCAGAAACAGCAGAAAACCAAGAACCACAAAGAUAAGAAUGAAUACAAGUUUAUGUUUAAAGAGAUCCAAUAAGAUUUUGAAAAGGGAACUGAGGACAUCUGUCUUUGUCUGGGUCACACUAACCAAUUAAGAAAAAGGAGCCACCAAUGACAAAAGCUCAACACUCAGAGGCCCUUACUGUCAGCUGUUACCGGCCAACUGCAU